AAAUUGAAGAGUUUGAUCAUGGCUCAGAUUGAACGCUGGCGGCAGGCCUAACACAUGCAAGUCGAACGGUAGCACAGAGAGCUUGCUCUCGGGUGACGAGUGGCGGACGGGUGAGUAAUGUCUGGGAAACUGCCUGAUGGAGGGGGAUAACUACUGGAAACGGUGGCUAAUACCGCAUAAUGUCGCAAGACCAAAGAGGGGGA
rnacentral:rRNA from 1 species